rnacentral:rRNA from 1 species
GGGGAGUACGGCCGCAAGGUUAAAACUCAAAUGAAUUGACGGGGGCCCGCACAAGCGGUGGAGCAUGUGGUUUAAUUCGAUGCAACGCGAAGAACCUUACCUGGUCUUGACAUCCACAGAAUCUUGCAGAGAUGCGAGAGUGCCUUCGGGAACUGUGAGACAGGUGCUGCAUGGCUGUCGUCAGCUCGUGUUGUGAAAUGUUGGGUUAAGUCCCGCAACGAGCGCAACCCUUAUCCUUUGUUGCCAGCGAUUAGGUCGGGAACUCAAAGGAGACUGCCGUUGAUAAAGCGGAGGAAGGUGGGGACGACGUCAAGUCAUCAUGGCCCUUACGACCAGGGCUACACACGUGCUACAAUGGCGUAUACAAAGGGAGGCGACCUCGCGAGAGCAAGCGGACCUCAUAAAGUACGUCUAAGUCCGGAUUGGAGUCUGCAACUCGACUCCAUGAAGUCGGAAUCGCUAGUAAUCGUGAAUCAGAAUGUCACGGUGAAUACGUUCCCGGGCCU